AUAUCAAUUUUUCUGUUAAGUGGAAAUCUUCCUUUCGGCUUCUUUACCUGGCCAAAGCCCUUCAGUUUAGGACAACUUCGCCAACACUGGCACUGGGAGACAGGGACUCUGUACCUGACACCUGACACCACACAGAAACUUGCCAUACUUCCCCACUGUAGUAAUUGGGAAGCCCAUGAUAACCCUCCCUUCUAAAGUUACCUCAGCUAUGGGGCUUUAGCACAGCAAUAGAGAAAUAACCAAGACACUUAUUAUCUUGGGGGCGGGGGAUAUGCAGAGGUAUAUGGCCACUUGUCUGCAGCCGCUCAAUGGUAGACAGCCAACAAGACAACCAAGUUCUUCUUAGCCUGAGGCAGAAGGAUGGCUGGAAUUAAGUAGGAGAGAAGUUUUCCAAAGAGUUUUCCUUUUAAAAAAAUCGAAUCAGGCCUGCAUGGAGGAGGUGCUGUCUGUGUGUUCAGCAAGGCCCAUGUGACCCUCAGCUCACAGUCUGGGGUGGCCUGACCAAGUCUCCUGAAACAGCAGCUCCUCCUGAGCUGUUUCUUCACAAUACAGUGCAGGAUCUUAGCUGCAGUGUGUUUGGAAGAUCGGUCACAUGAGCAAAUUGAGUUGUAAAUUAGGUCACCUUUAAUUUUAUUUUGUAAAAUCAGUGUUUAAAUCAUACGUGAUUUAAAACAUGAAAAAAAUUACCAACACUUCCUCACCACCAUCAGAUUUUCAGCAGCACCCAGACUUCCCCAUGGCCUCACCAUGGCUUCCUUUCCUCCCAGGCAAUUCGUUUGAGUCAAGAACCAAACAUAUGUUGUAACCGAUGGAAAUGCUGCCUCAAACUUUUCAGUCUCUGGUUUUUCCUCUCUAUCUUUCUCUUAUUUUCUUUGUGAAUUAC
rnacentral:lncRNA from 1 species